rnacentral:rRNA from 1 species
UUUUCACAAACUCUAUGAAUGUCUUUGAAUGUUUUUUACUGGGACUUAAUUGGCCCUUUAAACUUUAUACAACUUUCAGCAACGGAUCUCUUGGCUCUCGCAUCGAUGAAGAACGCAGCGAAAUGCGAUGAGUAAUGUGAAUUGCAGAAUUCAGUGAAUCAUCGAAUCUUUGAACGCACCUUGCGCCCUUUGGUAUUCCGAAGGGCAUGCCUGUUUGAGUGUCAUUAAAUUCUCAACUUCAAAGGCUUUGUCUUUUGAAGCUUGGAUGUGAAGGCUGCUGGCGUUUUAAAUGUUCAGCUCCUUUGAAAUGCAUUAGUGGACCCAUUUGUGUUCAGCCUUAGUGUGAUAAUUAUCUACGCUAUGGUUUUUGAAUACUGGCUCAUUAGAUCUUCGAGGUGUUUUAUACAUUCUCGGUGUGGGGAGUUGCAUGAACUUGCUCUCUCUGUCUAUUGAGUUUGGCUUGUCUGCUUUCUAACUGUCUACUUUGUGGACAAUUUUGAACCAUUUGACCUCAAAUCAGGUAGACUACCCGCUGAACUUAAGCAUAUCAUAAGCGGAGGA